rnacentral:rRNA from 1 species
UACGAAGGGGGCUAGCGUUGCUCGGAAUCACUGGGCGUAAAGCGCACGUAGGCGGAUUGUUAAGUCGGGGGUGAAAUCCUGGAGCUCAACUCCAGAACUGCCUUUGAUACUGGCGAUCUCGAGUUCGGGAGAGGUGAGUGGAACUGCGAGUGUAGAGGUGAAAUUCGUAGAUAUUCGCAAGAACACCAGUGGCGAAGGCGGCUCACUGGCCUGAUACUGACGCUGAGGCACGAAAGCGUGGGGAGCAAACAGG